UACGAACUGUGCGAACGUUAUUCGGAAUCACUGGGCUUACAGGGUGCGUAGGCGGCUUGCUAAGUAGGGUGUGAAAGCCCCCGGCUCAACCGGGGAAUGGCGCCCUAAACUGGCGAGCUAGAGUGAGAUAGGGGUGUGUGGAACUUCCGGUGGAGCGGUGAAAUGUGUUGAUAUCGGAAGGAACGCCGGUGGCGAAAGCGACGUGCUGGACCUCUUCUGACGCUGAGGCGCGAAAGCUAGGGGAGCGAACGGG
rnacentral:rRNA from 1 species